rnacentral:rRNA from 1 species
GGCAGCAGCCGCGGUAACACCGGCGGCCCGAGUGGUGAUCGUGAUUAUGGGUCUAAAGGGUCCGUAGCCGGUUGGUCAGUCCUCCGGGAAAUCUGAUAGCUCAACUAUUAGGCUUUCGGGGGAUACUGCCAGACUUGGAACCGGGAGAGGUAAGAGGUACUACAGGGGUAGGAGUGAAAUCUUGUAAUCCCUGUGGGACCACCUGUGGCGAAGGCGUCCUACCAGAACGGGUUCGACGGUGAGGGACGAAAGCUGGGGGCACGAACCGGAUUAGAUACCCGGGUAGUCCCAGCCGUAAACGAUGCUCGCUAGGUGUCAGGCAUGGCGCGACCGUGUCUGGUGCCGCAGGGAAGCCGUGAAGCGAGCCACCUGGGAAGUACGGCCGCAAGGCUGAAACUUAAAGGAAUUGGCGGGGGAGCACAACAACGGGUGGAAGCCUGCGGUUUAAUUGGACUCAACGCCGGACAACUCACCGGGGGCGACAGCAAUAUGUAGGCCAAGCUGAAGACUUUGCCUGAAUCGCUGAGAAGUGGUGCAUGG